CUUGGACCCCUCAAAAUAUCCAAUUCCCCACGGUUCAGAAGGGCCUAGAGAACUUGCAGGACAGACAUCUUACUGUUGAAGAGAGGCAGAGGUUCCGAUUCCCAGUCUGAGGGCUGCGAUUCACCUAGGGCCACGCAUCAGUAACAAGCAGAGGUAGAGGGACACGUGUAUCCAGGAGUUUUGCAGCUUCUUUUCAGCAGGCAGCAACUGCCAUUACCAUACAAAGCCUCUAGGGGGUGCAAUUUGCCUUACAGUCCUUGGUGAGACAAGUUAUGAAUUUCAUGAGCUUUGGUACAACGGUGAAGAAAAUAAAAAUGCUAUUUUGAGAGCAUGCUGUUGUUUGAAAUCAUGAAAAAGAUGCAGGCAAUAAACUAACGAGGACUCAUGGACUACUAUGCAACCAUUUAAAAGAAUGAAGUCAUUCUCUGUAGGGGCUCUGAGACACCAUCCAGGAGGAGGGAGCAGGCUCACGAAGCACAAAACGAAGCUACAAGAACUUGGAUUGAUUGCCUCUGGAGAGAGUAUACAACUCACGUGCAUUUAAAAUACUUUUAUUGUUGUAUUAAACAAUAAUAAACAAAAGUGGCUGUGCUCGGAAUAGAAUGUCCUAGGAAGACAAACAGGUCCAUCAAGAGAACUGCUGUUGUGUGCUGUGUUUAGAAAGUCACCCAGAGAGGCUGCCUGGAUGCAUUCUAGAAGCAAGGCCUGUUUCACAGGCUCUGUGGAAAAGAAUCCUGAUAGCUUGCUAUAGAGGAGGAGCCCAUU
rnacentral:sRNA from 1 species